GGUUAAGCGACUAAGCGUACACGGUGGAUGCCCUGGCAGUCAGAGGCGAUGAAGGACGUGCUAAUCUGCGAUAAGCGUCGGUAAGGUGAUAUGAACCGUUAUAACCGGCGAUUUCCGAAUGGGGAAACCCAGUGUGUUUCGACACACUAUCAUUAACUGAAUCCAUAGGUUAAUGAGGCGAACCGGGGGAACUGAAACAUCUAAGUACCCCGAGGAAAAGAAAUCAACCGAGAUUCCCCCAGUAGCGGCGAGCGAACGGGGAGCAGCCCAGAGCCUGAAUCAGUGUGUGUGUUAGUGGAAGCGUCUGGAAAGGCGCGCGAUACAGGGUGACAGCCCCGUACACAAAAAUGCACAUGCUGUGAGCUCGAUGAGUAGGGCGGGACACGUGGUAUCCUGUCUGAAUAUGGGGGGACCAUCCUCCAAGGCUAAAUACUCCUGACUGACCGAUAGUGAACCAGUACCGUGAGGGAAAGGCGAAAAGAACCCCGGCGAGGGGAGUGAAAAAGAACCUGAAACCGUGUACGUACAAGCAGUGGGAGCACGCUUAGGCGUGUGACUGCGUACCUUUUGUAUAAUGGGUCAGCGACUUAUAUUCUGUAGCAAGGUUAACCGAAUAGGGGAGCCGAAGGGAAACCGAGUCUUAACUGGGCGUUAAGUUGCAGGGUAUAGACCCGAAACCCGGUGAUCUAGCCAUGGGCAGGUUGAAGGUUGGGUAACACUAACUGGAGGACCGAACCGACUAAUGUUGAAAAAUUAGCGGAUGACUUGUGGCUGGGGGUGAAAGGCCAAUCAAACCGGGAGAUAGCUGGUUCUCCCCGAAAGCUAUUUAGGUAGCGCCUCGUGAAUUCAUCUCCGGGGGUAGAGCACUGUUUCGGCAAGGGGGUCAUCCCGACUUACCAACCCGAUGCAAACUGCGAAUACCGGAGAAUGUUAUCACGGGAGACACACGGCGGGUGCUAACGUCCGUCGUGAAGAGGGAAACAACCCAGACCGCCAGCUAAGGUCCCAAAGUCAUGGUUAAGUGGGAAACGAUGUGGGAAGGCCCAGACAGCCAGGAUGUUGGCUUAGAAGCAGCCAUCAUUUAAAGAAAGCGUAAUAGCUCACUGGUCGAGUCGGCCUGCGCGGAAGAUGUAACGGGGCUAAACCAUGCACCGAAGCUGCGGCAGCGACGCUUAUGCGUUGUUGGGUAGGGGAGCGUUCUGUAAGCCUGUGAAGGUGUGCUGUGAGGCAUGCUGGAGGUAUCAGAAGUGCGAAUGCUGACAUAAGUAACGAUAAAGCGGGUGAAAAGCCCGCUCGCCGGAAGACCAAGGGUUCCUGUCCAACGUUAAUCGGGGCAGGGUGAGUCGACCCCUAAGGCGAGGCCGAAAGGCGUAGUCGAUGGGAAACAGGUUAAUAUUCCUGUACUUGGUGUUACUGCGAAGGGGGGACGGAGAAGGCUAUGUUGGCCGGGCGACGGUUGUCCCGGUUUAAGCGUGUAGGCUGGUUUUCCAGGCAAAUCCGGAAAAUCAAGGCUGAGGCGUGAUGACGAGGCACUACGGUGCUGAAGCAACAAAUGCCCUGCUUCCAGGAAAAGCCUCUAAGCAUCAGGUAACAUCAAAUCGUACCCCAAACCGACACAGGUGGUCAGGUAGAGAAUACCAAGGCGCUUGAGAGAACUCGGGUGAAGGAACUAGGCAAAAUGGUGCCGUAACUUCGGGAGAAGGCACGCUGAUACGUAGGUGAAGUCCCUCGCGGAUGGAGCUGAAAUCAGUCGAAGAUACCAGCUGGCUGCAACUGUUUAUUAAAAACACAGCACUGUGCAAACACGAAAGUGGACGUAUACGGUGUGACGCCUGCCCGGUGCCGGAAGGUUAAUUGAUGGGGUCAGCGCAAGCGAAGCUCUUGAUCGAAGCCCCGGUAAACGGCGGCCGUAACUAUAACGGUCCUAAGGUAGCGAAAUUCCUUGUCGGGUAAGUUCCGACCUGCACGAAUGGCGUAAUGAUGGCCAGGCUGUCUCCACCCGAGACUCAGUGAAAUUGAACUCGCUGUGAAGAUGCAGUGUACCCGCGGCAAGACGGAAAGACCCCGUGAACCUUUACUAUAGCUUGACACUGAACAUUGAGCCUUGAUGUGUAGGAUAGGUGGGAGGCUUGGAAGUGUGGACGCCAGUCUGCAUGGAGCCGACCUUGAAAUACCACCCUUUAAUGUUUGAUGUUCUAACGUUGACCCGUGAUCCGGGUUGCGGACAGUGUCUGGUGGGUAGUUUGACUGGGGCGGUCUCCUCCUAAAGAGUAACGGAGGAGCACGAAGGUUGGCUAAUCCUGGUCGGACAUCAGGAGGUUAGUGCAAUGGCAUAAGCCAGCUUGACUGCGAGCGUGACGGCGCGAGCAGGUGCGAAAGCAGGUCAUAGUGAUCCGGUGGUUCUGAAUGGAAGGGCCAUCGCUCAACGGAUAAAAGGUACUCCGGGGAUAACAGGCUGAUACCGCCCAAGAGUUCAUAUCGACGGCGGUGUUUGGCACCUCGAUGUCGGCUCAUCACAUCCUGGGGCUGAAGUAGGUCCCAAGGGUAUGGCUGUUCGCCAUUUAAAGUGGUACGCGAGCUGGGUUUAGAACGUCGUGAGACAGUUCGGUCCCUAUCUGCCGUGGGCGCUGGAGAACUGAGGGGGGCUGCUCCUAGUACGAGAGGACCGGAGUGGACGCAUCACUGGUGUUCGGGUUGUCAUGCCAAUGGCACUGCCCGGUAGCUAAAUGCGGAAGAGAUAAGUGCUGAAAGCAUCUAAGCACGAAACUUGCCCCGAGAUGAGUUCUCCCUGACUCCUUGAGAGUCCUGAAGGAACGUUGAAGACGACGACGUUGAUAGGCCGGGUGUGUAAGCGCAGCGAUGCGUUGAGCUAACCGGUACUAAUGAACCGUGAGGCUUAACCUU
rnacentral:rRNA from 1 species